rnacentral:rRNA from 1 species
AUUGAACGCUGGCGGCAUGCCUUACACAUGCAAGUCGAACGGUAACGCGGGGCAACCUGGCGACGAGUGGCGAACGGGUGAGUAAUGCAUCGGAACGUACCCAGUUGUGGGGGAUAGAUCGGCGAAAGCCGGAUUAAUACCGCAUACGACCUACGGGUGAAAGCGGGGGAUCGCAAGACCUCGCGCAGUUGGAGCGGCCGAUGUCAGAUUAGGUUGUUGGUGGGGUAAAGGCUCACCAAGCCGACGAUCUGUAGCUGGUCUGAGAGGACGACCAGCCACACUGGGACUGAGACACGGCCCAGACUCCUACGGGAGGCAGCAGUGGGGAAUUUUGGACAAUGGGGGCAACCCUGAUCCAGCCAUGCCGCGUGCGGGAAGAAGGCCUUCGGGUUGUAAACCGCUUUUGUCGGGGAAGAAAUCUUCCGGGCUAAUACCCCGGGAGGAUGACGGUACCCGAAGAAUAAGCACCGGCUAACUACGUGCCAGCAGCCGCCGUAA